rnacentral:rRNA from 1 species
ACGGGUGAGUAACGCGUGGUCAACCUACCGUUGAGUGGGGGAUAACUAGCCGAAAGGUUAGCUAAUACCGCAUACGUCUCCGAGGGGCAUCCCUUGGCGAUAAAAGGAGCAAUCCGCUCGAUGACGGGACCGCGUCCCAUUAGCCAGAUGGUGGGGUAACGGCCUACCAUGGCACCGAUGGGUAGCUGGUUUGAGAGAGCGACCAGCCACACUGGGACUGAGAAACGGCCCAG